AGUGCAUUUUAGUGAUAUAGGUGA
rnacentral:siRNA from 1 species